rnacentral:rRNA from 1 species
UACGGAGGGUGCGAGCGUUGUCCGGAAUCAUUGGGCGUAAAGGGCGCGUAGGUGGCCCGGUCAGUUCGUGGUGAAAGCGCGGGGCUCAACCCUGCGUCGGCCAUGAAUACUGCCGCGGCUGGAGCACUGUAGAGGCAGGCGGAAUUCCGGGUGUAGCGGUGGAAUGCGUAGAGAUCCGGAAGAACACCGGUGGCGAAGGCGGCCUGCUGGGCAGUGGCUGACACUGAGGCGCGACAGCGUGGGGAGCAAACAGG